rnacentral:rRNA from 1 species
UACGAAGGGGGCUAGCGUUGUUCGGAAUUACUGGGCGUAAAGCGCACGUAGGCGGGUCGUUAAGUCAGGGGUGAAAUCCCGGAGCUCAACUCCGGAACUGCCUUUGAUACUGGCGAUCUAGGGAUCGAGAGAGGUGAGUGGAAUUCCGAGUGUAGAGGUGAAAUUCGUAGAUAUUCGGAAGAACACCAGUGGCGAAGGCGGCUCACUGGCUCGAUACUGACGCUGAGGUGCGAAAGCGUGGGGAGCAAACAGG